CGGUGCCACACAGGAGAACAAAUCUCAUAAUAAUAUCUUUAUUUCGAGUAGUCUUACAUUAAAUAACAUUGUUUAACAUGUCCGAUGAAAUGAUACAUUUUAUGUAUCAAGUCAUAUCUUGAUUUUCUUGUACAUUAAACUUUAAUAAUAAUACAUAAACAAAAUUUCGCGAAUGGCCAAAAAUAAUUGACAGUACAACAUAACGCACCAAGUAUAGGCACAUGACUUCCGAAAAAAGAAGAAAUAUAAGCAAAUACAAACAUCAACAAAUAACAUAUGGUAUAGGUAGCAUGACAUGGUCCAUUAUAUAAAACAUAUAGUAGUUUUAAACCAGUUUGAUGAGCACAGAAAACUCCUUCCCUUGUGCUUAUAUAUACCAUAUGCCGUUACAGUUUAACACAUAACAAACAACUUGCACAGUUGAGCUACCAACAAAAAUCGACGAAUUAAGUAACAUUUCGGCGGAGGAGCAAAUGUAAUUCUCGGUCAUAGUUUAGAUUUAAGUAUCCAAUUGUUAUAUACAAUUACAAAAAUUCAAAUUUGUUGUUUGGCCUAUUCGUUUUUUUUUGUGAUUAGUCUUGAUAUAUUGUUGUUUUUUCCCUUUCAAAAUCUAAUCU
rnacentral:lncRNA from 1 species